AUUGAACGCUAGCGGGAUGCCUUACACAUGCAAGUCGAACGGAGUGGCGAACGGGUGAGUAAUGUAUCGGAACGUGCCCAGUAGCGGGGGAUAACUACGCGAAAGCGUAGCUAAUACCGCAUACUAUUGGAGCGGCCGAUAUCGGGUUAGCUAGUUGGUGGGGUAACGGCUGACCAAGGCGACGACCCCGAGCUGGUCUGAGAGGAUGACCAGCCACACUGGAACUGAGAGACGGUCCAGACUCCUACGAGAGGCAGCAGUGGGGAAUCUUGCACAAUGGGCGCAAGCCGGAUGAGGCCAUGCCGCGUGUAUGAAGAAGGCCUUCGGGUUGUAAAGUACGUUCAGCGAGGAGGCGUUACUCGCAGAAGAAGCACCGGCUAACUCCGUGCCAGCAGCCGCGGUAAUAC
rnacentral:rRNA from 1 species